GAAUAGUAUGCAGUGAAAUGCAAGUCAGCUGAAGUCAGUGUGAAGUAACAGUAAAGCAGAGUGGCUAGAAACCAUUAACUUCAGAACUGAAGAGGUACAGGUCUUUCUUCUAUAUGGUAAAUGAUUGAACCAUGGUGGAAUUUUGGAUAUAUAAGUGCAGUGUGUGAAGUAACAGUAAAACAGAAUAGCUACAAAUGCAGAUACAGCUCUAAAUUGUUCAGCAUGGUGGGAAACAUAGUAGACAGGAACCAUAGAAAUCAUAUGACAAUGUGAAGUAACAGUAAGGCAGAAUUCUAGAGACCAUUAACUUCAGAACUGAAGCGAUACAGGUCUUUCUUCUAUAUGGUAAAUGAUGUAACUUGGUAGAAUUUUGGAUAUAUAAGGUGUCAAGUUACAGAAAAGCAGGAUAGCUGCGAACCAUGAACUUCAGAAAUGAAGAGAUGCAUGUCAUUAUUCAGCAUGGUGUAUAUGGAAACAUUGUGGAUGGCAGAAAUGAAAUGAUUUAGUGUUGUCUUAAGGCAGACGCUUAAAUGGAAAUUAGACAAAGCAGUGGCACAAAUAGAAAACAGUGAACACGUAAUAAAUAGAAUGGCAACACAUAUGAUUUUUUCUCGAGCUGAGAGUACAGUGACUAAAUAUUCACACCAGGCAAAUGCAUUCAAAGACUAUUGUUCAUCAUGUGGCCAUGUAUUUGUCUUCUCUGAUAGACUCCGGUAAAUCAUAUAAAGUUAUCUCAUCAGGGUUUUACAGCAUCAAGUGGUUACAUGGAAUUAACGACCAAGAAGAUCCAACUGAAAACAUUAUUGCGAAAAAUAUGCUAGAACGAUUCAACUCUAGACCCAAACAGAAGAAAGAUGUCAUUUCGUCAGAUCAUUUGAUUGAUUUAUGUAAUAUGUAUACAGACUACUGAUCCAGUUGAUGGGAUCUCGCAAUGAUUUUACUUUGUUAUGCAGGAUUUUUAAGAUAUAGCGAAGUCAGUGAUUUAAGAUGUAACGACAUCGAAGAUGAAAAAUAAGACUAAGGGAGUAAAGAAUAUUGAGGUGCAACAUCUGAACAACAAGGUAGAAAUAUCAGAAAAUAAUACUUUGAACAAUGAAAAGGCUGUCUCUGAUGUGACACGUCUUGCAAUGGAAAAUGACCUGAAAGCCGUUAAGGCAUCAGAAUUGUCUAUAAAUGCUAUAAAAGACAACGUUAUGAAGCAGUAUAUUGCGGUUCGCAAAAUCGUAUCCACAGAAAAAAUGUGUUUACGUGGAAUGAAAAAGUCACAUGAUGAGAAACUUGACACAUUUUACACACACGUGAAAUCACAAAUGUCAACAUUGAAUGCUUUGGUAGAAUCACAAAUAUCUUCAUUUGACAUGAUUUUAAAAGUGACUGAAAAAACUGUAAAUGUUGCCUUCAGUAAUACUUUUUCAACUUAAAUCAAGAAAUCUUAACAUCUAUUAAUGAGUAUAAGUGAAAACUAGAAACGCUUCGAGAGGAAAUGAAUAAAGAAUCGGACUGUCACAGUAAAACUUCGAACGAAACUAAUGGUGCAGUUCAGCAGCUGAAAACAAGAAUUGUGAAUGUUGAAACAAGGCAAGAAACGCUUCAAGAGAAAGUAGAUGAAAUAUCGUACCAUCACACAAAAACUUUGAAACAACUAAUGGUGAAAGUCAGCAAUUGAAUUGUAAACGUUGAAACAAGGCAAGAAAAUGGACAUUCACACACGAACUUUGAAUACAAAUAAUGGUAAAAUUCAGCAGCUGAAAACAAGAAUUGGGAAUGUUCAAUCAGGACAAGGAAAAAGAGCGGCUUUCACAGUAAGGUAUGCACCUAGACAAACUAACGGAAUAUUAAAAUUCUCGGAUGUGAAACUGAACAAAGGGUCCGUCUCAGUACAAGAAAAGGACAGUUCACGAGUCCGUAUGCAGAAAUACACUGGUUUACAGCAAGUAUCAUUGAAAGUGGUAUUGGUAAUAAUUCCAUAUGUUGUCGUUGGAAAGAAUGGUUCUCAUUACGUCUAUUUGUAUUUUAUGCAGGGUGAAAUAGACGGUAAGUCUGUAACAUACAGCACGGGAACAGCUACAGGAGCAGCUACAAUACAUCUAAUGAUUGGAGACCUUGUAGAUGUCUGGUGUGACAGUGGCACUGGAACUUUCCUUCCCUACUCUUCAUUUACUGGCUUUCUUAUCAGUCCUGAUCCAUAAGAUCAUCAUAUUAUCAUUUAAAUUUAUAAAAAGAAACACAUUAACUGCAUAUAGAGGUAUUAUAAUAAGUGUUCUUAGAGUUAUUAUUAUAUGGGGUUCGAGUAGAGUUUCCUCUUUAACCUUGAAUAUCAAAAUACAUAAUUAUUUAGAUCUUUAUUUGUGGCUCUUAAAAUUAUAUUUUAUUUAGAAAUUAAAUCCUUACAAUACAUGCAGUUAAGCAGGUUAUAUUUUUAUCUCUGUAUUUAAAAUUACUUUCAUGGAAGUAUUUUAUUUAAAGCAUGACAUUCAAAGUAAUACAAAAAUGUCAUCAGUAGAACAUUAUGAUGUCAUGUUAACUGACGUCAUAACAUCAUACAUAUGUUUGUAUACAUUGUAUGUUUACCUGAAAAAGUAUUUUAAUAUGAAACAUGUUUCAAACUUGAGUUGUCUUCAUUCUGUAAUUAUAUCAGUAGAAAAUAAACCACAUGUUAUGUUUUAUUAUGAUACAUGCCUAGUUUUAAGACAAGAACUUUAUCUACUGCUUUAGAAGUUGAACCAAUUUUAAUAACCUUACAGAUGAUGAGAAAAUAGUGUUUUUUAUUCUCUAACAAUGAUAUGGUAAAAUUUAUAGCCAAAACCUGUUACUUGGUGUUACAGUUGAAAAAUGAUAUUCUCUACCCAUAGGUUUGGCAAAUGUUUUAUGGUCUUACUGUAACUAUUGUAAAACACUGAAAUUUUAUUGUAACACAAUAAUUUUAAAAGAAAAUAUAUAUUUUAGAUUAAUUGUAAAAUGUUACCUGAUUUUACAGUUGAGAAACAAUAUUCUCUACCCCUAGGUUGAAAAAUGUUUUAAGGUCUUACUGUAAAUAUUGUAAUACAAUACUUGUUAAUAGCAAAUAGAUAUUUUAGAUUGUUAGUAAAAUGUAAAAUAUUAUAAAAUGUUGUUGUUCUUUUUUAGAAAUGUAUAUUAUAUAUAGUCUCUUGCAAAUCUUUAUAGAUUGGCUUUGUGGGACAAAGUUAAUAUAGAUCUUAUAUGCAUGUAUUAUAUAAAUGUGCACAAAGAUGAGACUCAAAUAAAAUCUUGAACUUUAACUACAGAAAUAAAUGAGAAAACACGGCCAUGUAAUCGGUAUGGCUUCACCUAGAAUUCCAGAAGGGAAUUUAUGACAAUUAAGCAAAACACGGGAGACAAACUUUGUUUGUUUGUUUGUUUGUUUGCUUGCUUUGGGUUUAACACCUUUUUUCAACAGUAUUUUAAACUUUUAUUUAAAAAGAACAUCUGAAACACUGUAAAGUAAAGAAUAUUCCUGACAAUAGUUACAAAAUAAUUUGUGGGAAAAAUAUUAAAAUUUCUAAACUUGAAGUGGAAACUAGAAUAUAAUUUGUUCCAAUUUGAUUUUAAUCCCUUUUUAGCUCGACUAUUCGAAGAAUAAGUAGAGCUGUCCUACUCACCACGGCGUCGGCGUCGGUGUCGGCUUCGGCGUCACACCUUGGUUAAGUUUUUCAUACCAGUCCAC
rnacentral:misc_RNA from 1 species